rnacentral:rRNA from 1 species
UGCGUAGGCGGCGCGGUAAGUCGGGUGUGAAAUCUCGGGGCUUAACUCCGAAACUGCAUUCGAUACUGCCGUGCUUGAGGACUGGAGAGGAGACUGGAAUUUACGGUGUAGCGGUGAAAUGCGUAGAUAUCGUAAGGAAGACCAGUGGCGAAGGCGGGUCUCUGGACAGUUCCUGACGCUGAGGCACGAAGGCCGAGGGGAGACGAAACG